rnacentral:tmRNA from 1 species
GCCCUUGCACCCCCCGCCCCCGCCCCCUAUAUUGAUCCCUGUCGGGGGCAACCCCGACUAUGGCGAUAAACGCACCUGUAAUAAUCGGCUCGGACCCGGGGGCGGUACCCGGCGGCUCCACCAAAUCCCGUUCGUUGCGGGGGCAAGGGGCCGAAAUAGGAUCGACGAACGACCAAAGAGGCCAGCUUUCGCUCGGUGAGGUACCACCGUUAUCGGUCCAUGAUCACAGUUGCCAACGACAACCGUGCUCCGGUGGCGCUGGCCGCGUAAGCGGCUCGCAAGACCAA